rnacentral:rRNA from 1 species
GUAGGUGGCAAGCGUUGUCCGGGAAUUAUUGGGGCGUAAAGCGCGCGCAGGCGGUUCGUUUAAGUCUGAUGUGAAAGCCCACGGGCUCAACCGGUGGAGGGUCAUUGGAAACUGGAGAACUUGAGUACAGAAGAGGAAAGCGGAAUUCCACGUGUAGCGGUGAAAUGCGUAGAGAUGUGGAGGAACACCAGUGGCGAAGGCGGCGUUUCUGGUCUGUAACUGACGCUGAGGCGCGAAAGCGUGGGGAGCAAACAGGAUUAGAUACCCUGGUAGUCCACGCCGUAAACGAUGAGUGCUAAGUGUUAGGGGGUUUCCGCCCCUUAGUGCUGCAGCUAACGCAUUAAGCACUCCGCCUGGGGAGUACGGCCGCAAAGGCUG